UCUACGGGCGGCAGCAGUGGGGAAUAUUGGACAAUGGGGGGAACCCUGAUCCAGCCAUGCCGCGUGUGUGAAGAAGGCCCUCGGGUUGUAAAGCACUUUCAGUGAGGAAGAACGCCUGGUGGUUAAUACCCAUCAGGAAAGACAUCACUCACAGAAGAAGCACCGGCUAACUCCGUGCCAGCAGCCGCGGUAAUACGGAGGGUGCGAGCGUUAAUCGGAAUUACUGGGCGUAAAGCGCGCGUAGGUGGCUUGAUAAGCCGGUUGUGAAAGCCCCGGGCUCAACCUGGGAACGGCAUCCGGAACUGUCAAGCUAGAGUGCAGGAGAGGAAGGUAGAAUUCCCGGUGUAGCGGUGAAAUGCGUAGAGAUCGGGAGGAAUACCAGUGGCGAAGGCGGCCUUCUGGACUGACACUGACACUGAGGUGCGAAAGCGUGGGUAGCAAACAGGAUUAGAUACCCGGGUAGUC
rnacentral:rRNA from 1 species